rnacentral:rRNA from 1 species
GGGAGUGGCAAGCGUUAUCCGGGAAUUAUUGGGGCGUAAAGCGUCCGCAGGCGGCCUGACAAGUCUGCUGUUAAAGCGUGGGAGCUUAACUCCAUUUCAGCAGUGGAAACUGUCAGGCUUGAGUGUGGUAGGGGCAGAGGGAAUUCCCGGUGUAGCGGUGAAAUGCGUAGAUAUCGGGAAGAACACCAGUGGCGAAAGCGCUCUGCUGGGCCAUCACUGACGCUCAUGGACGAAAGCCAGGGGAGCGAAAGGGAUUAGAUACCCCUGUAGUCCUGGCCGUAAACGAUGAACACUAGGUGUCGGGGGAAUCGACCCCUCCGGUGUCGUAGCCAACGCGUUAAGUGUUCCGCCUGGGGAGUACGCACGCAAAGUGUG